GCCAGCAUCCUCAUCUGAGAAAUCAAGAGAACCGAGUAGGUGCUUGUGAGGAUCAGAUGAGGGCUUUCAGGGGAGGCCCGGCACCAAGUCUGCGCCCCUACUGAGCGCUCAGCCAAUGGGAGUGAUCCCUGCUGCUCUGCCGCUGGGCCAACCCUGUCUCUAGCCUCAGCAACGUCCUCACUCUUCCAAAUGCCCUCUCCCCAGCUUCCUAGGACUUAGACGGCAAGUGGGCAGUUAGAAACAGCACCUGCAUCUGGGAACAGCCCCCAUCCCCCGGAUCCAAUCCAGGAUCACACACUACAUUUAAUAUCCCCUCUUUAGUCUCCUUUAAUCUGGAACAAUUCCUGAACCUUCUUUGCCUUUUAUGAUAUUGACAGUUUUUUUGAAGAGUUCAGUCCACUUAUGUUGUAGGAUGUCCCAGGUUGGUCCCUUAAUAUUUGUUUAAGGGAAGGUGAGUUAGUAAGCCGUUUCCACGUCCUUUUGGGUACGUACGUAAGUUGCCGAAUGCCCCGCCUCGCACUAGGUGCUGUGAGCACAGCCUGGCUCUGCCUUGGGACUUAAGUCUGGGUUUGUGGGAACAGCAGUUACUGUCAGAAGGGCUGGAAGGGCCCCGGCCUGCUCAUGAUUAGGGGUCUGCCAUGCUGGCACCGACAAGCUUGGAAAAUACAUCUUAGAUGGAUGCAGGGGGAGUCGGCAUUCUGGAAGUCUCCAAAGAUGCAGAAAAUGGCCCUGCACCUGUUCCAGCAUCCACUUACCUACUUCGCCUGGCCUCCUGAGGUGUCCUGAAGUUUGCACACUCCAAACCGAAGUCGCUUCUCAGAAAUCUCCAGUGAGCUGCAGUCCUGGGUUCUAGACUGUCCCUGCUGCGGCUCCCCUCUGGGCCAGUGGUGGGAGAGGAGCCCCUCCUGGCUCUGCCAAGUGUCCCUGGAAUUGGGAACAAGUAGGGGAGGGGACAGUCCCUGAGCCUGGAGUGUGGGAAGACAGCCAGGACCCUGGCCUAUAACAAAGUCAAGCCAACUUGGGAUGGCUUGUGAUCUGACAGACAGCUCGUCAGACCCGGAGCCUCGCUUUUUCAGCUGUUUAACGUCUCUGUCGGACAGUAUAUAGUACGGAAAACAGCGAAUUGUAAUUUCUAUUCAAACAACUGUGUAACGUCAGGAAACUAUCAUGCUAGUUGGAGGUAUUUUGUCAGACCAAAGCGAACAAUGCAAGAAUGUUUUAAGUGACAUCAAUCUUUGCAAAACUUUGGCCAAGCCAGCUUUCAUUGUGCAAAACAAAAUAAAAUUGAUUUUCAUCUGGUCA